rnacentral:lncRNA from 1 species
CAUCUCCCUCCCUCUCGUCCACGCCUCCGGUCGUUCCCCUUCUUCCCUCUGCGUGCCACUCACCGGGCGCCAUGACGGAGGAGGCCGAGGGAUGUGUUGCGGUGGCCGAGGCGGCGGGCAUCAUCUGCUCGCUCCGUGCGGCGGACCUGGCCGGGUGGACGCCGCCAUGGAAGACGAGCGGGCAGCCGUCCUCCGAAGCCAUGGCGAAGAAAGAGGAGACGGGCUGGCCGUCGGUGGCGCGGGGGAAGCGGACGCGGUCGUCGCGCUCAGGAUCCGCGGCAAACAAGGGGAGGAGGUGGGCGCGCGGCAGCCCCGCGUCUCCGCUCGACUACAGCGGCGGCUCCGGCUCCGGCUCCGGCGCGUCCACCAGCGGCGGGGAGGACGGCGCCUUCUGCUCGACACCGGCGACGGCCGCCAUCGCCGCCACCCCAGCUUCUUCCUCCUUGGGCAAGGUAGGUACCUAGUCGAGCGCGCGCACGUCCAUGCUUUCCCUUGUUUGUCUCCUUUCUCGUGUGUGGUUGGCCGCCUGCCUGCCUGCGUUUGUGCUUUGCUUUCCGUCGUCGCAGCGCCUGAUUGGACGGACGAAUCUACCCCUGUACCAUGUCAUCAAUGGUAUGGCAGUGAGAGGAUGUGCAACUGCAUCGGGGAUGAAACAUCGUUUUCCUCCCCCCUCACCGCACCACACCCGCCUUUUUGUUGGCAAAAGAUCUUUUCUCGCAUCCCUUUUUAACGAAUGUUUUCUUCGGUCCAACUCCAGAUACCCCGCUUCUUGCUCCACUCAUCCCACUUCGUCUUCGCAUCAAAAAGUCCAAUUCACGGGCGUCCGCUCUGAAUGUCAAUGGCUUCCGAUUUUUUUUUUAAUCUUGCCACGGUCGUGUGAUGGAUGGCUCUGCAUAGCCAUGGCCAUUACGUUGUAUGGUACUAGUACGUUGCGCGUGCUUGACUGCAAUUCACAGCGGUUGGUGACUCCUGACCACGAGCUACCGCUCCUGACUGCACGCCUUUCCCCAAACCACAUUCUUUCGUGAGGGCAGUGCCGUAAUUUCCGCCGGCCCUUAUCCUUGCGUGCAUUUGGAUUUUUCUCCCCGCGCCGCGGUGGCUAGCAGUGGCCCCUGCGGCCGGGCCCCACCCGCCAUGCAGUUGGGACUUUGUUUUUUUUUACUGGACAGUUGGGACUUUGUGACCCACGGUGUCAAACCGGCGCGUCGGCGGGAUCCACGUGGCCGCCGCCGAUUGGCUCGACCUUGCGCCCGGGUCGCGCGCUGCGUAUGGCCGUGCCGCCGGACACGGAGGUAGACACGACGUGUCGUGGCCACAUGCCUCCCGCCACGUGUACCGUCCCGCACGCCAGCAACACACAGAAACACCUUUCGGUUGGUGGCGCACACGGUACACAGCCGCUUUCCCAAACCGUACGUACAUGGCCUCGCGCAGGCCCCACAUGCCAUCGUCCCGUCAACGAGAAACCAUUUUUCUAUCUACACAUUCAUCAAUUUAAAAACCCCAACUUCUGUUUUAAGAAAGAAUUUAAAAACUCCAAGUGUGUAGUAGAUGGUAGGAUGACAGGUAGCAGGUGGUCGUUGGUGUCCACGCACUGCCGAUGGACCGAUUCAAAAACCCAAAACCUUAAUGCGUUUCACGUGAUGUGGCCAAAGGAGCGCCGGUGCAUUCUUACUACCUGUUCGGUUUCUCUCCGCUCCAUCAGCUGCGCUUCCGGAGCCUAUUUUGACGGAGCGGCUGACACCGAGCUCCACAACUACACAGAGUGGAGCGGCGGGGAGAGAUUCCGAACGAGGCCUUAGUGGGGAGUUACUUUGGCCGGCAUGCUCAUCAUCAUCAUCAUCGUUCCUUCAUGCCUCGCUCGGUUUUUUUCUUCUUAUUUUUGAAUAAACAACAUGUGUCAGCUGCCGUUGCUUUCAUUCUUUCCGCUGGUCGUUGGUUGGUUCCACUCUCGCUUUCUUGAUUCUCUCUUCCUACCAGCAGCAUCUCGUAAGCUAACAACUGAUCUUGCAAUUGUUCUUCUUCUGCCGCUGCUGCAGGUGGGCUCUGCCGGAGGAGCUCGGCGCCCGUUGAUCAUGCCGGCCCCGCCGCCCCGCGCCGCGGGGCAGAGGUCCCGGAAGAAGAUGGUAAGUUUCACGCUCGCUCCAUACCAUACAUUGGAAGCGAGUUUGGCUGGGGGCAGUGCAGUAGUACGAAGCCGUGUUUAGAUAUAGUCAUACAUUUGAACGAAGUUGUAGACUUUUACUACUAGUCAGGUUUCCAUCGAAUUCCUAAACCGCGUCAGCAGGCGGCACAGUCCAGGCAGACGGAGUCAGUCGUAGGAGAAGUGAGGCUGUUCAAUUGGCUGGCAUUCUUAAUUGGUUUUUAGUUGCUUUGCCUGGUGGAAUAAAGCGGGUGGUGCAACCACUUGUUGCCACCAUAGGAAUCAAAGAUGAAGAGAGAGGGAGAGGCAGGCGGAUAAAAGCGCGCGCUUGCUGUCCAUAGGACCAGAAAGGCAAGAAAGCUGCGUGCCCAAAAAGAUCAUCUCCUCAUCAACGCCGGAUGGUCGGCCCUGUCCCGUCUGGAGUGAUGACCGGUUGCAUCAUAUAUUCAGAUUGCCCAUAAAGAAAUGAUGAAGGAGAAAAAUAGAUUAGCAUAUGGAUGGCUUUUUGGCUUGCUGGAUCUGGCCUGAACUUGUGCCGUGGUUUGCUGCAGAGGCUCCCGGAGGUGAAGCAGAUGGUGCUGUCCCUGUCGGCAGAGAACGCCGUCCUUCGCCAGGUAAUUCAUUAACAAGCACCAUCAGCUUGCUCUUUCUUAUAUUUCCCCUUGGUAUUUUUAGAAGAAGGUACUCUUCUAGUUUUAUGAAAAAUUGUUUUCAUGUUGUUCUUAUAUCAACAUAUUCCCUUUGAUUCGAACAGGAGAUGGAGUCGCUGCAGAUGGCCUGCAAGGCGCUCUCCAAGGAGAACGGCACACUAGAGGUGAGUGCCACGCACGCGCACUAUUAUACCAAUCUUAACUUCUCAGUAGCAGCGUAGCAUAGAUAGAUGCUUCCAUGUUGGGCGAGAUGUUCUCUGCCCGAGUGUGCAAUCAUAAGCACAUAGAAAGAAAGAAAGAAAGAAAGAAAGAUAAACCGGUUGGGCGCCUCCCACUUGCAUUGCCUGGUAGAGCAAGCCUUCAAGCACAAGUGAAUGGAUGAAUCGAUGGCAAAAGAAUAAGAGUGAAAAAUCGAUCGUCCUGAGCCUCCCAGCGGGGCACCAGACCACUGGAUGGGUCCUGCUUUAAUCUCUCUGUGCUGUGCUGUGGUUCGUAGCACGAUUUUUUGUUUUGAUUUGAUGGUCGCAACCCUCUCAACCACCGUUGCUGUUGCCGUCCGGAAGAAAACUGACUGCGACCGGUGCCGUCCGGAUAAGCUNNNNNNNNNNNNNNNNNNNNNNNNNNNNNNNNNNNNNNNNNNNNNNNNNNNNNNNNNNNNNNNNNNNNNNNNNNNNNNNNNNNNNNNNNNNNNNNNNNNNNNNNNNNNNNNNNNNNNNNNNNNNNNNNNNNNNNNNNNNNNNNNNNNNNNNNNNNNNNNNNNNNNNNNNNNNNNNNNNNNNNNNNNNNNNNNNNNNNNNNNNNNNNNNNNNNNNNNNNNNNNNNNNNNNNNNNNNNNNNNNNNNNNNNNNNNNNNNNNNNNNNNNNNNNNNNNNNNNNNNNNNNCUGAGCUAUAAGUUACUUUCUGAGCUGGACACUUCACUGUCUAUACUGUAUUGUACGCAGUUCAAUCAUAGUUUUAAAUAGCCCACUAUAGCCUCGCUAUAGCCUUUUCAGCAGGGUGUCGCUAAAUGGUAUCAUGUACAAAUAUACCGCUAUAGCUGAUUUAGAGGCUCGCCGCUAUUUGCCGUAGCCUGCUAUUUAAAAUAUUGAGUUCAAUACUUGGGCGUGCUGUAUGUGCAAAUGGNNNNNNNNNNNNNNNNNNNNNNNNNNNNNNNNNNNNNNNNNNNNNNNNNNNNNNNNNNNNNNNNNNNNNNNNNNNNNNNNNNNNNNNNNNNNNNNNNNNNNNNNNNNNNNNNNNNNNNNNNNNNNNNNNNNNNNNNNNNNCUGUAUGUGCAAAUGGAUGCACAGCACAGUGAUAUGUAGAAGUAGAAGAUGUCUUUGCUUGGUGUUAGCUGGCCGUACGCACGCUGUCCAGAACAGAAUCGUGUGCGAUAAAGAAGGCGAGGUUGCCGCUGAUCCUACCUGCAAGCAAAUGGAUCCGUGCGCACCUGCCCGGACGGGCACGACGAUCUCGUGCCCUUCUUUAAUGCCCUGCUACAGCGCUCCCGCCAUUACUAUAGUGGAAGAUGCAUGGUGUAGGUACCAUCCUCGUCUCUGCUUGACACCAAACAAACAGCUGAACAAGUUGCACGGUGGUGGCAAUAUGUUUAGGCUGGGCCAGCCAGCUGGACGGUCCCUGCUUGAUUUGCUUUCUCCCUGCUCUCCUCUUGUCUGGCAUGGCACCAUCGCCGUGCUCUCCUCUACCAAUGCCGUGCCAGUGCUCUCAUGGCGAGCAUCCUGCCCUGCUAAUGUAGCCACAGAUUGGUGCAUGCUGCGUUUCAGCGUUUGAUCAUAGCAUUAGCUCACUCUGCCUCUGCGCUGCUAAUGACUAAAAUUCAGCAACUCCUCAUCCGAAUUUCCCUCUAGAUUUCAGAACCCAGUCUGUCGCCGUCGAUCCGGGGAUUGGUUUUCUAGACGAGCCGGAAGUUUGGGACGCUGCCUUUGUGUGAAGGUCAUACUAACAUUUUCCUUGUGAACAAUUUCACAGACAAGGCUGGAGCAUUCUUCCUCGUCAAGCAAGCGGAAGAGGACCGAGUCCGAAGAGGAGGAGCGGCGACAAAGGAAGCCGCAGCAAGCCGGUGGCGGGUUCGCGCUCCCUGACCUCAACAUUCCGGCGCAGGAUGUCGCCGACGCACCAGCGGCUCCGUGAUGGCUCCGCUUGGGAACCCAGUCCAUCUCCGGUGGUGGCGCCUGACGGCUAACCUGAUAAGUUCAUUAACCGUGUAUAGGGGAGGAGGCUGAAUCUGAGGCUGGAAGGCGCGAUCUCUGAUCGCUCGUGCUGGCAGGGAGGAAGAGCAAUCGGUCGUGUUACCUUAGCUAUUUUUCUUUCUUCUGUUUAGUUUUGAGAUUUUUCUUUUGAACUGCCAGCAACGCUGGCUUUGUAUUAAGAUAGGUCGGGAGCGCAGUUUACAGGGUAGUCGCAAGGGUGCGAUCAAGAAUGAAAAGCGGGCAAAACGCCCAAGAGGAUUACAGACAAAGAAGAAAAACGUAGGGUUGAGCAUGGUCGGCGGCUCCCCAAAGUUUUUGCGGGUUUGGAACUGGGUAGAAUCCAGCUGAACAUGAUUGCGACGCGUGGCGCUACUUUUUUUUUUUUUUGAACGGUCAUGGGAAAGGGAUUCCCAUCAAAAUAUAUUGCUCAAAAAGCUGUCAAAGCCAAAAGUUACCCCUUAAGCUAUGGCUGAUUCAGUUUAUAACAAAAACUUGAUUGAAAACCUAAAUAAAUUGACCCAGUUUAGGAGGAAAACCGGAAUCCCACCUCCUCAGCCUUGAACCUGCGCCACCAUCGUCGUAGGACGAAUGAACAUUGUUCUACUAUAGGGCUAACUUAGAAAGGAAAUGGGGUUGAUGGACUUUUCCACUCGUGCCACGGGCGACAGGGAGGCGACCUCGAGCCAGGGACGAUUCUAGGGGGGACGAGGGGGGGGGGGGGCUAGGCCCCCCUAACAAAUUGAUUUUCUACUAUAAUAAUGAUUGUUAUAGCCAAAAAACUUCAUUUCAUAUGAACUUUGCCCCCCUAUGCUUGGAUGCUGGCUCCGUCCCUGCCUCGAACCUCCCGAAUCCCACAAUUAAUGGUCGUUCCCAACCACCCCCUCCUCAUUAUCCCACCUCCUCAGCCUCUCCUCCCCUCCCACCAACCCUCAUCUCUCCGAUCUCCUUGUGCGAUGGCGGGGGAGAGGCGUGGAGGCCGAGCGAGGCGCGUUCGUCCUGCGGCGAUGGUGGCGGCCCCGAUGGCUUCCCCCGUGCCGAUUCCGGUGGCGCAGCUGCCGGUCGUGGAACUGUGGGUGGUCCGGGGCUCUUCCCCGACCGUCCGAGUGGCCGAAGAUCAUGGUGGAUAUCAUUCGGAGAUCCACCUUCGAGGAACGAGCUCGGUUCUGCGAAGACGACGGGGGAAUGGACUACGAGCUGAUCUUCUGGCCAAUACAGGAUGCGGAGGCUGCGAAUCCAAUCCAGGUGUUGCGGUGGCGCGGGUUUAAGGCGGAGAGUGCCUCCCGUCUCAACAUUCGUUCACUGUCGGUGCUGGAAUUGUCCCAGCUUCCUCCCGAUGCGCUGCCUCCGGGGGUCAGACCGCCCCGCACCCCCUGAAGACUCGCGCUCCUGGCAGACACCUCCAACAUUCGGUGCUUGCCACGGGGGUGCGGGGGCGUCGGGCGGGGGAUGAGUUGCCUCGCAGCUUGGAACCACAACCAUGGUCGGGAGAUCGCGGUGAGGUUUACACUCACCGUAAUCAGGUACCUCGAUUCCGACUGAAUUCCUCCCGUAUCUGUGCUUAUUCUAAGAGAGUUUGUAGUGACCAUCUGGUCAUCGAAUCCGAAUGUUGUUCUCUCGGAUCGGACCCUGUGCUCAUUGUUCCUAGGGAAGGAGUUUCUACUCCGGUCAAACUGCUUUGUCCGGCAACGAACCGGGAGGAGGUGGCCAAACCACCAAAGGCACCUGAUAUCAGUCCGAAAAUGACGGGUCUCGGUCCCUCUCCGGUUCCUGCGCCUCUCAUCCAUGGAUGUGUGGUUAGGAGGAAAGCUCGUUUUCAAAAACCGUCUUCCCUUGUGGGAAACGUAUCCGAGGAGGUGACGGAGGAGUUUUUCAGAUAGCUCUGGGUUAUUCCUUCCCUUGUGCGCCGUCGACCCCAUAUAUACUCCUCUCCCCUCCUCCAAACCCUAGCUUUGCCAUACCUAACACCUUUUGGGUUAGGAAAGNNNNNNNNNNNNNNNNNNNNNNNNNNNNNNNNNNNNNNNNNNNNNNNNNNNNNNNNNNNNNNNNNNNNNNNNNNNNNNNNNNNNNNNNNNNNNNNNNNNNNNNNNNNNNNNNNNNNNNNNNNNNNNNNNNNNNNNNNNNNNNNNNNNNNNNNNNNNNNNNNNNNNCCGAUCCAGAACGUUUACCAGAGAUGAUUGCUUCCCUCUGAAGCACCUUGGUCGAUUUGAUCCUAUACCGACCUCCUUCAAGCUUUCAGUAGAAGGGAUCGGGCAUGGAUCUCUAUCCUUCACUGAGGUGGUUAAGGGGGGAAUGGAGGUUGGACGUCAGCAACAGCAGCGGUCUCCGCGCCCCAACCUAACAAGAAGACAGUGCCUAUCCAGGGGGGCAAGCCCAGCCUCCUCAACCUCCCCCUCCUGCUCCUGCGAAGCCACCCCAAACCAUGAACAAAGGGGGGGGAAGUGGCAUGGAAGAAUCAGGCUGUUGGAGGCAAUCCGGCUGUGAUGGCACCAAUAGCACGUCCGCCGGCGAUCCUGACCCCUCGUGUUGUCCAAGCUCUGGAUCUAAGGUACAAAGAGAUGACCUGCUUCAACUGUAGCUGGUUCGGUCAUUACGUUGGUAAUUGCAUUAAGCCCAAGAAGUGCUUCAUCUAUGCGGGAGGGCACAAUGUUAACAAUUGUGCAGCAUGGGCUCGUCAACAUCCCACUGCCACCUACUUUGGGAGCGCUGCUACGGGUCUAGGGUUUUAUCAUAUUGACGUCCAUGUGUCUACAGAAUCGAGUUGGAUGAAUUAUAAAAAUUGUGCAUUACUUCAUGUUGUAAGGGGAGAGGUUUCUGCUUCUGAACUGUUGAUGCAACUGAAUGGAAUCUUUUGCAAGAACAAGGAGUGGCCCUGGCAGAUAAGAGAACAGGAGGAUAAGAAGUUUAUGUUAAGGUUUCCUCCCCGGAGAAGUGUUGAUGAUCUGAUUGAUUUUCCUCCGUGUGAUUUACCUAUUGAUGGUGUCUCAGUUAAGGUUGUUGAAUGGCAAGGUAUGUUGAACCACUAUGCAGGAUUAACUGGAGCAUGGGUAUAGAUCGAAGGGGUACCUCCAAAAUGGUGCGCUUGGAAAGUAUUUGCUCAAAAUUACUUCCUGCUUUGGUAUUCUUGUGGAUGUAGAUUGGAAUGGCAUUUCUAAAAGCUUUUAUGAGACCAUUCGUGUGAAGGUUGCAUGUAGAGACCCUGCCAAAAUUCCUUUUGAGAGACUUGUGGAAAUGAAGAAGAAAUUAUAUUUGUUAUUCUUCACUGUUGAAGGUUUUGAUCAGAUUAGUGAUGAGGAUGAUGAUGAUGGAGUUGAUCCUGAUGAGGAAGAUCUUGACAAAAGCAAAGGUGGGGAGGAGGAUUUUGAGGGUAAUCUGGACACUACUGAUAAGGACAGUCAGGAAGAUGAUGCCAAUCCAAUAGAUGACCUUGAUAAGGCUAGUUUCAUUAAGAAGGAUAUUCUUGCCUCUGCAUGUGGCAACAAACAGAGAAGUGUUGUUUCUGCAACUGAAUUCCAUCCUAAGAUGUUGUUGGAGAAUGCUCACACUGCCUUCAUUGAGGAAAUCAAAAGAUGUGGACUCCCUGAAAGUGAUAAUUGUGACAAGGUUGAUGAAGAAAUGAUUUCUCCCAUGAGGAUGUUUUCUUCACCUCCAAAAGAUGGGGAACCCAUGUCUGUCCAUAUGGAUUACAUCUCUCAGCAACUGAAAAACUUUGACAUGGUUGAAUCUGAUGAAGAAGAAGGAGAUAAUCUAUGAGAAAUGCAAUGCUUACCUGAUGAGUUGAUAAAAGUUAUUGUCUCUACUAAGAGAUCUCUGCUAGAUACCUUGGGAAAGGCUGAUUCAAAGAAAAAAGGGAGAUUCCAGGAAGGGGCUUCUGCCAAAUGGGGUCCAGUGUUAUCUAGCAGGCCAACCACUCGUGGACAUGGGGACAUCAACAUUAUUGAUAAAGCCAAAGCCUAUCAGAAGAAGACGAAUUUGGAGAUACCCCCAUCAUUCAAAGGUAAUUCCUUUCCCUGUCUAGAUAAUUAUAACCUUGUGGACCAAGCUAGGAAAAAUGAUAUAUGUAUUGGUAAUGAUGAUAAUGAACAAGGUGCUAUUCUUUAUGACAUGAUAGAAAAUGAAAAACUAAGAUGCCUUCAAUUUGCUGAUCUUAACCCGGGAAUUGUUCUCCCUGAUAAUCUAGAUGUGGUUAUUCAAACUCAUUCCUCACCACAUGACAUUAUUCCAAGAUCUAAAACAGUGGGCAUUGUUGUUUUAGUGAGGGAUAGCCCAACCCUACUCAUGAAAAAGCAAGCCUUGUGGCUUGUCACAUCCUUUUUAAAUCUCACGAUAGGAGACUUUUGGAAUAUCAGGGGUCUAGUGUUGGGGAACAUCGCAUGGGAAACAAAACUUUUCCUACGCGCACGAAGACCUAUCAUGGUGAUGUCCAUCUACGAGAGGGGAUGUGUGAUCUACGUACCCUUGUAGACCGUACAGCAGAAGCGUUAGUGAACGCGGUUGAUGUAGUGGAACGUCCUCACGUCCCUCGAUCCUCCCCGCAAACCGUCCCGCGAUCAGUCCCACGAUCUAGUGCCGAACGGACGGCACCNNNNNNNNNNNNNNNNNNNNNNNNNNNNNNNNNNNNNNNNNNNNNNNNNNNNNNNNNNNNNNNNNNNNNNNNNNNNNNNNNNNNNNNNNNNNNNNNNNNNNNNNNNNNNNNNNNNNNNNNNNNNNNNNNNNNNNNNNNNNNNNNNNNNNNNNNNNNNNNNNNNNNNNNNNNNNNNNNNNNNNNNNNNNNNNNNNNNNNNNNNNNNNNNNNNNNNNNNNNNNNNNNNNNNNNNNNNNNNNNNNNNNNNNNNNNNNNNNNNNNNNNNNNNNNNNNNNNNNNNNNNNNNNNNNNNNNNNNNNNNNNNNNNNNNNNNNNNNNNNNNNNNNNNNNNNNNNNNNNNNNNNNNNNNNNNNNNNNNNNNNNNNNNNNNNNNNNNNNNNNNNNNNNNNNNNNNNNNNNNNNNCCUCCGUAUAUAUAGGGGGAAGAGGGGGAACCUUGCCUUGGGGCUCAAGGAGCCACAAGGGGGUCGGCCGAGCCAAGGGGGGAAGGUCUCCCUGUUGGGGAACGUCGCAUGGGAAACAAAAAUUUUCCUACGCGCACAAAGACCUAUCAUGGUGAUGUCCAUCUACGAGAGGGGAUGAGUGAUCUACGUACCCUUGUAGAUCAUACAGCAGAAGCGUUANAGAGUCAAUAAUCUAGCCCUCACAUCACCAUGUGAAUUACAUUGUAAUAAAUCUAACACCCAUACAGUUCUGGUGUUGACCAUGCUUUGGCCGUGGAAGAGGUUUAGUCAGCGGGUCCGCUACAUUCAGAUCCGUGUGCACUUUGCAUAUAUUCACGUCCUCUCCCUCGACAUAGUCGCGGAUGAGGUUGAAGCGUCGUUUGAUGUGUCUGGUCUUCUUGUGAAACCGUGGUUCCUUUGCUAAGGCAAUGGCACCAGUGUUGUCACAGAACAAGGUUAUUGGAUUCAGUGCGCUUGGCACCACUCCAAGAUCCGUCAUGAACUGCUUCAUCCAGGCACCCUCCUUAGUCGCCUCCGAGGCAGCCAUGUACUCCGCUUCACAUGUAGAAUCUGCUACGACGCUUUGCUUGGAACUGUACCAGCUUACUGCACCCCCAUUAAGAAUAAAUACGUAUCCAGUUUGCGACUUAGAGUCGUCCGGAUCUGUGUCAAAGCUUGCAUCAACGUAACCUUUUACGACGAGCUCUUCGUCACCUCCAUACACGAGAAACAUCUCCUUAGUCCUUUUCAGGUACUUUAGGAUAUUCUUGACCGCCGUCCAGUGAUCCACUCCUGGAUUACUCUGGAACCUACCUUCCAUACUUAUGGCCAGGCUAACAUCCGGUCUAGUGCACAGCAUCACAUACAUGAUAGAACCUAUGGCUGAAGCAUAGGGGACGGAGCGCAUAUGCUCUCUAUCUUCAUCAGUUGCUGGGCACUGAGUCUUACUCAAUCUCGUACCUUGUAGAACUGGCAAGAACCCUUUCUUGGACUGUUCCAUUUUGAACCUCUUCAAAACUUUAUCAAGGUAUGUGCUUUGUGAAAGUCCUAUCAGACGUUUUGAUCUAUCCCUAUAGAUCUUAAUGCCUAGAAUGUAAGCAGCUUCUCCUAGGUCCUUCAUAGAGAAACUUUUAUUCAAGUAAUCCUUUAUGCUCUCUAAAAACUCUACGUUGUUUCCAAUCAGUAAUAUGUCAUCCACAUACAAUAUUAGAAACGCCACAGAGCUCCCACUCACUUUCUUGUAAAUACAAGAUUCUCCAACCACUUGUAUAAACCCAAAUGCUUUGAUCACCUCAUCAAAGCGUUUGUUCCAACUCCGAGAUGCUUGCACCAGUCCAUAAAUGGAUCGCUUGAGCUUGCACACCUUUUUAGCAUUCUUAGGAUCGACAAAACCUUCGGGUUGUAUCAUAUACAACUCUUCCUUAAGGAAACCGUUAAGGAACGCCGUUUUGACAUCCAUCUGCGAGAUUUCAUAAUCGAAAAAUGCAGCUAUUGCUAACAUAAUUCUGACGGACUUAAGCAUCGCUACGGGUGAGAAAGUCUCAUCGUAGUCAACUCCUUGAACUUGUGAAAAACCCUUUGCCACAAGUCGAGCUUUAUAAACGGUCACAUUACCGUCAGCGUCCGUCUUCCUCUUAAAGAUCCAUUUGUUCUGAAUGGCCUUACGGCCCUCGGCAGUACCUCCAAAGUCCACACUUUGUUCUCAUACAUGGAUCCUAUCUCGGACUUCAUGGCUUCCAGCCAUUUGUUGGAAUCUGGGCCCACCAUUGCUUCUUCAUAAUUCACAGGUUCAUUGUUGUCUAACAACAUGAUUGAUAAGACGGGAUUACCGUACCACUCUGGAGCAGCACGUGGUCUCGUCGACCUGCGUGGUUCGACAGAAACUUGAACUGGAGUUUCAUGAUCAUCAUCAUUAACUUCCUCCUCAACUGGCGUCGCAAUGACAGAGGUUUCCCUUUGCCCUGCGCCACCAUCCAGAGGGAUGAGAGGUUCGACAACCUCGUCAAGUUCUAUCUUCCUCCCACUCAAUUCUCUCGAGAGAAACUCCUUCUCGAGAAAAGCUCCGUUUUUAGCAACAAACACUUUGCCCUCGGAUUUGAGAUAGAAGGUGUACCCAACUGUCUCUUUUGGGUAACCCAUGAAGACGCACUUUUCCGCUUUGGGUUCCAGCUUUUCAGGCUGAAGCUUUUUGACAUAAGCAUCACAUCCCCAAACUUUAAGAAACGACAACUUUGGCCUUUUGCCAUACCACAGUUCGUAUGGUGUCGUCUCAAUGGAUUUUGAUGGUGCCCUAUUUAAAGUGAAUGCAGCUGUUUCUAAUGUAUAGCCCCAAAAUGAUAACGGCAAAUCAGUAAGAGACAUCAUAGAUCGCACCAUCUCUAAUAGAGUACGAUUACGACGUUUGGACACACCAUUACGCUGUGGUGUUCCAGGCGGUGUUAACUGUGAAACAAUUCCACAUUGUCUUAAGUGAGCACCAAACUCGAAACUCAGAUAUUCACCCCCACGAUCAGACCGCAGGAAUUUGAUCUUCUUGUUACGAUGAUUUUCCAGUUCACUCUGAAAUUGCUUGAACUUUUCAAAUGUUUCAGACUUGUGCUUCAUCAAGUAGACAUAACCAUAUCUACUUAAAUCGUCAGUGAAGGUGAGAAAAUAACGAUAUCCGCCACGUGCCUCCACGCUCAUCGGACCACACACAUCGGUAUGUAUGAUUUCCAACAAGUCACUUGCACGCUCCAUUGUUCCUGAGAACGGAGUCUUAGUCAUCUUGCCCAUGAGGCAUGGUUCGCACGUGUCAAGUGAAUCAAAGUCAAGUGACUCCAAAAGUCCAUCAACAUGGAGUUUCUUCAUGCGCUUUACACCAAUAUGACCUAAGCGGCAGUGCCACAAAAAUAUGGCGCUAUCAUUGUUAACUCUAACUCUUUUGGUCUCAAUGUUAUGUAUAUGCGUAUUGCUAUCAAGAUUCAAUAUGAACAAUCCUCUCACAUUCGGUGCAUGACCAUAAAAGAUGUUACUCAUAGAAAUAGAACAACCAUUAUUCUCUGACUUAAAAGAGUAACCGUCUCGCAAUAAACAAGAUCCAGAUAUAAUGUUCAUGCUCAACGCAGGCACUAAAUAAUAAUGAUUUAAGUUCAUCACUAAUCCUGACGGUAACUGAAGUGACACUGUGCCGACGGCGAUUGCAUCAACCUUGGAACCAUUUCCUACGCGCAUCGUCACUUCAUCUUUCACCAGCCUUCGCCUAUUCCGCAUUUCCUGUUUCGAGUUGCAAAUAUGAGCAACAGAACCGGUAUCGAAUACCCAGGCACUACUACGAGAGCCGGUUAAGUACACAUCAAUAACAUGUAUAUCAAAUAUACCUGAUUUUUCUUUGCCCGCCUUCUUAUCUGCCAGAUACUUGGGGCAAUUGCGCUUCCAGUGACCCAUACCCUUGCAAUAGUAACACUCCGUUUCCGGCUUAGGUCCAGCUUUGGGUUUCUUCGUCGGAUUGGCAACAGGCUUGCCGCUCUUCUUCGAAUUGCCCUUCUUGCCUUUGCCGUUUCUCUUGAAACUAGUGGUCUUAUUCACCAUCAACACUUGAUGCUCUUUACGGAGUUCAGACUCAGCGAAUUUCAGCAUCGCAAACAACUCGCCAGGAGACUUGUUCAUCCCUUGCAUGUUGUAGUUCAACACAAAGCCUUUAUAGCUUGGCGGCAGUGAUUGAAGGAUUCUGUCAGUGAUAGCUUCUUGCGGGAGUUCAAUCCCCAGCUCAGCUAGACGGUUUGAGUACCCAGACAUUUUGAGCACAUGUUCACUGACAGAUGAGUUUUCCUCCAUCUUGCAAGCAUAGAAUUUAUCGGAGGUCUCAUACCUCUCGAUCCGGGCAUUCUUCUGAAAGAUAAACUCCAACUCCUGGAACAUCUCAAAUGCUCCAUGACGCUCAAAGCGACGUUGAAGUCCCGGUUCUAAGCCAUACAAGACUGCACAUUGAACUAUUGAGUAGUCCUCCUAACGUGCUAACCAAGCGUUCUUAACAUCCUGAUCAGCCGUAGCGGGUGGUUCAUCUCCUAACGCAGCAUUAAGGACAUAAUCCUUCUUCCCAGCUUGUAAGAUUAGCUUAAGAUUACGAGCCCAGUCUACAAAGUUGCUUCCAUCAUCUUUUAACUUAGCUUUCUCUAGGAACGUAUUAAAAUUCAGGAUGACUGUCGCGUGAGCCAUGAUCUACAACACAAAUAUAUUCAAAGUGGACUUAGACUAUGUUCAAGAUAAUUAGAGUUUAACUUAAUCAAAUUAUUCGCUAAACUCCCACUCAAAAAGUACAUCUCUCUAGUCAUUUGAGUGGUUCAUGAUCCACUUACACUAGCUCAAGUCCGAUCAUCACGUGAGUUGAGUAUAGUUUCAGUGGUAAGCAUCCCUAUGCUAAUCAUAUCAUCUAUAUGAUUCAUGAUCGACCUUUCGGUCUCAUGUGUUCCGAGGCCAUGUCUGCACAUGCUAGGCUCGUCAAGCUUAACCCGAGUGUUCCGCGUGCGCAACUGUUUUGCACCUGUUGUAUGUGAACGUUGAGUCUAUCACACCCGAUCAUCACGUGGUGUCUCGAAACGACGAACUGUAGCAACGGUGCACAGUCGGGGAGAACACAAUUUCGUCUUGAAAUUUUAGUGAGAGAUCACCUCAUAAUGCUACCAUCGUUCUAAGAAAAAUAAAGUGCAUAAAAGGAUUAACAUCACAUGCAAUUCAUAAGUGACAUGAUAUGGCCAUCAUCACGUGCUUCUUGAUCUCCAUCACCAAAGCACCGGCACGAUCUUCUUGUCACNNNNNNNNNNNNNNNNNNNNNNNNNNNNNNNNNNNNNNNNNNNNNNNNNNNNNNNNNNNNNNNNNNNNNNNNNNNNNNNNNNNNNNNNNNNNNNNNNNNNNNNNNNNNNNNNNNNNNNNNNNNNNNNNNNNNNNNNNNNNNNNNNNNNNNNNNNNNNNNNNNNNNNNNNCAUGAUCUCCAUCAACGUGUUGCCAUCGGGGUUGUCGUGCUACUCAUGCUAUUACUACUAAAGCUACAUCCUAGCAAAAUAGUAAACGCAUCUGCAAGCACAAACGUUAGUAUAAAGACAACCCUAUGGCUCCUGCCGGUUGCCGUACCAUCGACGUGCAAGUCGAUAUUUCUAUUACAACAUGAUCAUCUCAUACAUCCAAUAUAUCACAUCACAUCAUUGGCCAUAUCACAUCACAAGCAUACCCUGCAAAAACAAGUUAGACGUCCUCUAAUUUUGUUGUUGCAUGUUUUACGUGGUGACCAUGGGUAUCUAGUAGGAUCGCAUCUUACUUACGCAAACACCACAACGGAGAUAUAUGAGUUGCUAUUUAACCUCAUCCAAGGACCUCCUCGGUCAAAUCCGAUUCAACUAAAGUUGGAGAAACCGACACUUGCCAGUCAUCUUUGAGCAACGGAGUUACUCGUAACGAUGAAACCAGUCUCUCGUAAGCGUACGAGUAAUGUCGGUCCAAGCCGCUUCAAUCCAACAAUACCGCGGAAUCAAGAAAAGACUAAGGAGGGCAGCAAAACGCACAUCACCGCCCACAAAAACUUUUGUGUUCUACUCGAGAAGACAUUUACGCAUGAACCUAGCUCAUGAUGCCACUGUUGGGGAACGUCGCAUGGGAAACAAAAAAUUUCCUACGCGCACGAAGACCUAUCAUGGUGAUGUCCAUCUACGAGAGGGGAUGAGUGAUCUACGUACCCUUGUAGAUCGUACAGCAGAAGCGUNNNNNNNNNNNNNNNNNNNNNNNNNNNNNNNNNNNNNNNNNNNNNNNNNNNNNNNNNNNNNNNNNNNNNNNNNNNNNNNNNNNNNNNNNNNNNNNNNNNNCCACUGUGCUGGAAAGAGACCUGUAGCUAUGUUGCAUGUUGCUCCCAAACAGCUAAGAUGCAGAUUCUGGCAGAUUAUGUAGUUUUACCAUUUUGUUCAAAGUAUGUGCUUAAUUGAUGUUGUGGUGUUCUACCUUGCUCCAAUUCAUUCAUGUUGGGUUAUUACAUGUCUUGGCAACCUAGGAAUACCAGAUUUGUGCCAAUUGUGUGUGUGGUGAUGAAUCUUUCAUGUAGAGCUUCAUAUCUUGUUUCGUUGAUUCCCGUUGAUCCGUAGCUCCGUUUGCAAUGUUCCUUAUAUGGUUUUGUACCGUUUUCACGAGCCACAUCUGUUCAUGUCGUUCUCAUGCAUGUAAAAAUAGCAUAGUGCACAGUUAUGUCCAGAAACUUGCUGUAGUUUAUUUUGCUUGUGCUAGUGAUAGAAAUAGUGGUGCAUGCUCAACUUUCAUCUCAUGCAUCAUGUGAUUGUUGCAUCUUGUGGUGCUGCUGUUCAUUGGCUGUAUUCUUAUGUUGGGUAGCACCGGGAGCGGAGAACGUAUAUGUGGAGUCAGGAGAGUACGUGCAGGACGAUCCAGAACCAUUCCAAGCUGAGGAUAUCACAGGCAAGAUGAUAUGACCUUGAUUCCAUCUCUAGACUUGUUAUGUUAGUUUUGUUUCCAUGUCAUAUUGCUCGCUGCCUACCACUGAAAUUAAAUUGCCUCUUCAUAUGCCAUGAGCCCAAACACAGUUCCCCUUCCUAGCAAACUUGUGUGGCUAAGUAGGCUUGCUCAGCUACUAAUGUUAGCAUUGUUAGUUGCAGGUGUUUUAAACUCAUGUGAUGACAUGAGCUUGAUAUCAUUAUAUUAAAUUAUGUUAUUUAAUUAAUGCACCUAUAUACUUGGUAAAUGACGGGAGGCCUAGCCUUUUGCCGGGUGCUUUGUUCCGUUAUUGCCGCCUUAGUUACCGGUUACUGGUGUUUGAUUCCAUAAUGAUCGCUCCUAACACGUUCGGGGUUGUUAUGGGGACCCCCUUGAUAAAUCGCGUAGUGAUAAGGCUUGUCUGGCAGGACCCAACAUUGGUGUUAAUUUGCUAAUAACUUAAUAAUAAUCUGCAUAGGGAGUAGCUACCCUGAGGUUUCUUAAUCAACAACCCGGGCCAGUGCUCCUCAUGAGUGUUGGUCCAAUCCAGAGCAACUUAUUACGCUCCCCGGGGCAACUCGGUGUUUUGGCGUGGUAACCAUCGCUCAUCCGGCGUGUCCUGAGACUGAGAUACGCGGCUCUUAUCAGGGUCGUCGACACGUCGGGAGGUCCUGCUAGCCUUGUCUUACCUUAGCGGUAUAUCUUGCGUAUAGGAAUCCCAGUGAAGAUUUGGGUUCCCCCAGGGUUGAGGUUUUCCUCUAAGGAAUCCGACGAGAUCACGAGAUUCGUGAUAGAGGAUGCCUUUGCGGCCUGUGUUCGUUUGUGAUGGACUAGUUGGAGCACCCCUGCAGGGUUUAAUCUUUCGGAAAGCCGUGCCCGCGGUUAUGUGGCAACUUGGAAUAUUUUAUUAACAUCCGGUAUUAGAGAACUUAAACAUAAACUAAUAAAACUGCCAACUGUGUGCAUAACCGUGACUGUCCCCUCGAAGAUCCCCCUUCGAUCGGGAACAUCGUGGGGUUAUGAAUGCCGUAGGUAGGUGAUCAGGAUCACUUACUGAUCAAGUAGCUCCGACCGUUAGCGUAGACCACCUUCACUUUGCUCUUACGUAAGUUAGCCACUUGAUCAAACAUAGGAUGCAGCAGCCUGAUACACUUUAUCCCUACCUUACCCAAUAACAUGACUAGUUCUGGCACCAAGGUCUUAGAUUGCUGAGUCCCCGUGGCUCACGGAUUCCUCUGAAACUCCCAGCAGGUACAGGUACCCCAGAGACAGAUGAUCCCGAUGUCACCCAGCUGGCGUGGUAGUACGACGAGGAGAUAGACCGCCUCUACGUGAACUAUCCCGAGGACUGAGCCGUGGUCGUGAUCGUGGGCCUGCAACGGGUAGCAUAGCAUUUUUCCUUGUUUUGUAGUCCGUACCGGAACUACCUUGUUUGUAUCUGCGUUGUACUCUGAGUUAUUAAUAAGAAGACAGUUGAAUCCCAAAUUGUCUACUUGCUUGCGAAACGCUUAGAUGCGCUUCUUUCCUAUUCGGGGGCCUUGACCCCCAGAUCAGAAAGGACCGCAUCUUUGUCGUUACACUAAUUAUCCCAAGGAGACGGAGGAAAACCUUCUAAGGUUUCUAAUAGAUCAAAAUUUCUGUGACCACAUACUGUUUCCAUACAACUUCAGGUGAGGGUCUUUACUCUGUUGUGUCCAUUCACUUAUAAGUGUAAUUGAUAAGUUACUGACACACACACACACACACACAUAUAUAUAUAUACAUCUGCAGCUUUCAUUGGAUUCUGUUGGACAUUCAAAUUGAUAAGGAAAGAGUUGAUGCCUUCGACCCAUUAUCGAGACCCUUGGAACAGUUCCAAAGCCUGCAGGACAUGCUCCAAGGGUAAUUUUAAUCAUUCUUGCGCUCUAUCGGUCUCUUUCGAUGAUUUCUGAUAUAUCAAUUAAUGAAAAACUUAGCAAAUCAUUAUCCUUGUCGGGCAGGGUUUGGAAGCGGUUCAAGUGGGUGACUCCCGGUAUCGAGCCUGAGAAGCUGACCUUUAGAGCGGCUCAGGUAAGUAGCAGUAUGAUAUACUUCUAUUAAUUUUCAAUACAUUUAUGAUGCUAGAUUAUUAUUUUGAUUAUAUAUAUUCUAUUUCUCGUAAAGUGCGACCAACAGCCACGGGGAACGCAUCUAUGCGGAUACUAUGUUUGCGAGACCAUUCGCACGUUUACCUCUUAGUUCAAGGAUCACAGAUUCGACGUAAGCAAUGAACAUUCACACCUCUAUUUUUACCCGUCAUUCUUUGUUAUCAUGAUUGAUAUUCAUAUUCAUCUCCUCUUCUUAUAUAGCACACGGCCAUGAGGACGAAGGUCCUACCAGAGCAACGCGCGAUUGCUGUUGCAGAGGAGCUUGCGGGAUUUCUGAGGACGGAAGCUAUAGAAGACAAAGGACGAUUUAGUGUAGCUAAGGGCCAUUACUGAUGUUCAUCCAUGUAAUCGAAUAUACAGGCUCUAGUCCCGAUAAUUCAGAUCUCCAUAUAAUUGUAUAUAUAUGAUCGCUUGUAAGAUAAGUUAAUCUUAUAUAUAUAUAUAUGCAUAAUUAUUUCUAUUUAAAUUAUAUGAAAAAUAAUUCCCGAACACCAAACGAGGCAUCACGUUAAUCUCCCGAACACCUAAACCCUAAAACCCUAAAACCCAAAAAUAAUUUCAUUCGAAAAAAACCAAAAACCAGCAAAAUCUGAAAAUCUUUAGUCGCGGUCCUUGUAACGAACCGGGACUAAAGGGCCUGCCCCUGGGACGCUACGAGGCGCCCACGUGGAGAACCUUUAGUCCCGGCGUGUAAGAGGGCCGGGACGAAAAGGUUAGGCCUUUAGUCCCGGUUGGUGAACCGGGACUAAAGCCCCUUACGGGUCGGGGCUAAAGGCCCCGUCCCCACUAGUGAAGAACACCAUGAAGAAGAUUGUGAGGCGUGGGCGGGGCAAUGAGACGGGAGGGACGUCGGUUUAGUAAGUAGGUUGUCGUAUGGGGGGCCUCAGCUCAGAAGGGGGGAGGAGAUGGGCUUGGAGAAGUAGUGUGCGCACGAUGUCAUUGAUGGUGCGAAUGAGUCGUUCUGCUUUGCCGUUUUGAGGAGAAGUGUAUGGGCAAGAGAAGCGAUAUGCUAUGCCAUUGGAUGAAAGGAAGGACCGUAGAGAUUUGUUGAUAAAUUCGCCGCCAUUGUCACAUUGCAAUACUCUUGAUGAUAGAGUGGAAUUGCGUGUAAACAAACGUGAAGAAACGUUGGAGAACCGUGGACGUAUCAGAUUCGUGGUGUAACCGGGAAGUUCACGAAAAAUGGGUAAAGUUCUCCAACACAACAAGAUUUACUCCUCUAUUCGUUUUUUUAAAUUGUCCUCUAUACGGUUUUGAGUUAUUGACUAGAGAUGUUCUUUUGUUUAUGCUGCGGUGAAACGUGUCAAGGCGUCUUUCUUGGCCCCAAAGAAUGCUUCGAAGGUAGUUUUCCUUGCUGUUAUUGUAAGUUGUGCUAUGGUUAUGCUUAUGUGUGAAUUGUUUGUUUCGUUAGAUCAUCCAGAGUGUGAGGCUUGUUAUUUAGAGUCGCUCGAGUUCGAGGAUCGUCAACAAGGCAAGUUCACAUUGAUCAUGUUUUUAUCUAUGGUUUUAUUGCAUUAGUUCAACCUUCUCCACCUUGCAUGCAAAGUAGGUACUUGGAAAUUUGGUUCUUGAGUAGUAUCAUGUGGUAGACACCCAUAAACCCUUGUUACUUUGGUCCGGGACGUUAUUUUUAUUUUGCUAUGCUUCUAGUAGACGGGGUUUGGUUGAGUGUUUAUCAUGAUUGUUGUGAGAACUAAAUAAUAAAGACCUAAAGACUUCAAGACUUUCAAGACCUCAUGAUGCAAUAUAUAUUUGGGUGGGUGAUGGUAGAGCGACACCCUAGAGGAACGAGUGGUAGCCUAGGUGAUGUUGGAGAAGCGCUAGUAUUCACGCGGAAAGGUCCACCCAGGCACGAGUAGAUGAACGGAUACUUAAAGACCUGAGGCUUACCUGCACAACCACAAGCCAUUAUGGGCUCUAGCUUGGUUGGACAUCAUGGCGAUUCUGGACGGGCGGUGCUACGAGAUGUAGAAGAACAAUAGGAAUGGAUGGGCACCAACACUGGCUUAGAGGAACCUGGUGGAAGACCAUGUUUUGAUCAUUCAGUUCUCAAACACCCUACAGUGUGACGACUUCAACGAAGGCGAUCAAAUCUUGUGGGGAACAUGUGCAAAACUCUCCAGAGUACUCAAACCUAAUCGAUUAGCCGUGUCCACGGUUACGGACAACUUAAGCCAAAGGAACUGAAACUAUCAGAAACUCUCGACACAAAUAAUAUUAAUAAUGUGGGUAUUACUAUUAACUUGGGCAUGAGAAAUGGUUGGUGGAACCUUCUCAUUAAACAACCAACUUGUAGUAAUAAUUUUGCUAUUGGCCCCCUCUCUUGUUGUAGGAAAAAAUUGCUUCCCGUUAACAAAUUACAGGCCCACCUGCCAUAUAUGCAUAUAGUGUAGCAGAUGAAUUUUACCUCUCUUUUGUGACUUGUCGGCAUAUUAAUAUGCUGAACUACACGGCUGCAACGUAUCAUAUUGUAGAGUACUUUUUUCGACCAGAAGUGAGUACACGCUCAACGCUCGUUGAUUUGCCCCAGGAGUCAGAUGGACUCGACUACCUUCGAAGCUUCCACUAGUUUUGAUUAGUUUUAUCUCAUGAGUUGGCCUUCAUCCACUUUAUUGUAAUCUUUAUUGUAAUAGAAGACUCGAUAUGAGAUUUCGAUUAAUAAAGUAGUUGUGAUUGAACUCUUGAUAUAUACAUUGAUGUGUAGUGUGUGUACCAGCUUGAUCUUGGGAUGGUACGGAAACACCAGAGACUGGACCGUUUCAGGUCGGGUCGCUACAAGGCCUCACCUGUGAGACGCCAGGUUCUUCACCAUUAAGCUUGACGAGACCUUCGAUAUUUAUACAGUAUGCAACGAUGACAAGUGCUUUUUUGUAAUUAAGAAUGACUUAUGUUUCUUCGCUUCAACAUGUAAUUUCUAUUUUAUGCAAUUCGACUAGUUCCUCGCAUGUCAUGCAAGAAGGUAUAUCUUGAAGAGGCUCAGUUUCGAAGACCACGAGAGUAUGGAGAUGAGGAGAGCUAACCUGAGGACUAAACAUGGUCACACAUUUUUGGUCAAAGUAAUGAAUGCAGUUAAUAACACAGAAUUAGGGUGCUCAAAUUGGGAAGCUCUUUGCAAGACAUAUGGAUUUUAAGAGGAUAUGAAAAAUAACAUUCGAUCUUCGCCCUAAAGAUCAUAUUGAAGGUAACAUCGACAUUCGGGUGGAUGUCGAUAUGCUUCCUGUUUUACCUUCAUGUGAGUUUGUCAACCAUAUUUGUCAAGUAAUUUGCAUUCUAUAUUUAAAAUAGUUGGUGUUCAUCCAUACUAAAUUUGUUAAUUUAUAAUUUACGGCUUAUUUCGUUUCUUCGAAUGAAAUACAAAAAAUAAUUGAGACGACACAUUACACUUAUGGAUCACAUCUAACUUGGGAGGAGAAGGAUGUUCUUAUCAACUUUGUUAUUUGUGUCCUGGUUGGUAGGAAUAACUUCCCAUAUAAUUUGGGAACUGACCCAAAUUAUACAUUUUACAUGUCAUUAGUGCAUAGUUUGAGGGCGGAUGACAUUCACCGAAAUAUCUUGGUAUGAGUUGCUAAUUAAGUACACUACUAUUGCAUAAAUGGUGUUGAUUAUAUUGCUAACUAGGCUACUAUUAUGUUCUUCAAGUGUAACUGCCAAAUGAUGUUGUGCCUCCGUUGAUGCAUGGCGAAGGUUAUAUGACAAUUAAAAGCCCUAUGAAGCCCCAGUUCUCUUUUCCAAACUCGACUGAGCGCAAACCACAAAGACGACCCCAAAUUGAAGCAUGGAGAGAAAUAAAGAAGAAUCGCAAGUCACAAAUUGGCGACGUUAGAUCUCUCUCCUUCAUCACGGAGACAUGGGUGAUAUUUUUUAUGACAUUGUACCUAGGAGAGAGGACUAGGUCCUAUGAGAGAGAAGUUUUUCUGGUUUAUAUUAACUUGGCAUGAUCGAUUAAGAUGAUGAUUAUUAUGAUGUUUUUCUGCUUUAUGAGAUUUUAACUUGGUAUGAUUAAGAUAAUGAUGAGUUGUUAGAUGAGUAAGAUGAUGAUGAGUCAUCUGACAUAAUAUUUGAUUAAAUUUGCAGCGCCUUAGUAGUAGCGCAGGCACCCGCGCUACUGGUAGUCCAAAAACUGGCGCUACUACCAGGGUUACCUCUAGUAGUGUCAAUAUGUGUAACGCCAGGGCUUGGUGUCGAUUUAAAUGAACAAAUAAAAUAAAAAUGAAACCCUAAAUGUUAAAAAAUGUUACCAACAGGACUAAAGGUCUUUCUCCCCUCACGCCCCACAGCGGCCACGUGGAGCACCGUUACGCCCGGUUCGUAACACAACCGGGACUAAAAUUUCAUGCCUUUUGUCCCGACUGUUUAGUCCUGGUUAGAGAACGGGACUAAAGGCCCUCUGGAACCGGGACUAAUGGCCCUCUAGAACCGGGACUAAUGGCUUGUUUUCCACUAGUGUCUCUAUGAAGCGUCAAUCUUUAAUUUCAUGUUUAUGUCGAGUCAUUCCCUUCUUGUAACCUAUCACCCAAGCGUGGAUCCGCUCUUCGACGACGACCUUCGAUGGCUGGAUCCUACCAUUUCGGGUGGUUGCGAGCCGAUUGGAAGCAUGUGAGGUGGUGUGGUGUGGCAAGGUGCAGGCGGGCAGGUUCGGCAAUGGAUUUGUGGGUGCGAGUGAUGGAGAGGGGCGGUGCGGGGGAGGAUUUUUUCCCUAAGAGCCGGUGUCACUCGAUUAAUAUAAAGGGUUUGAUGCGGCGAUGAAUAAAAAAGAAUGGAGAUAAGGGAUCAUUUGGGUGGUUUAGCCCUUCAAAAACGAAUGUUUAAGUUGAGAAGAAUAGUUUUAUGCUGUUGAUUGAUUCUGUUGCGUUACAACUUACAUAUACAUCGAGGGAGAGAGAGAGGGCUCCCGAGAGAAUAGGCAUGCAGACCAUCGGGGUGAGAGGAUCCUGAAUUGUAGGAUCGGGCUACAUACAAUGAGAUAUACACCCUAUACAAUAGACAUACGUUAACACCCCCCUCAGUCGGAAUCCCAUUGGGAAUGGUGUUCAGGCUGGUCCAAAACUCGGUCAAGACCUGCGAGGGUAAUCCCUUGGUGAACACAUACCCAUACUCAGAGCUGGAGGGAACAUGAAGAACUCGCACUUCGCCGAGUGCCACACGAUCAGGGAUGAAAUGCAAAUCAAUCUCAAUAUGCUUGAUGCGUUGGUGCUGGACUAGAUUACACGCGAGAUAAGAGGCGAUGAUGUUAUCACAAUACAUCACUGUGGCAUGGGUUGGGGGAACCCGCAGCUCUUGGAGGAGUUGUCACAACCAACAUGACUCAACCAUGCAAUUUGCAACGCCACGGUAUUCUCCCUCUACACUGGAGCGUGAAACAGUGGGUUGCCUCUUGGAGGACCAUGGGAUAAGAUUGUUCCCAAGAAACACACAAAAGCCCAAGGUGGACUUGCGAGUGUCCGGACAUCCAGCCCAAUCUGCAUCCAUGUAUGCUAAAAGAUCCAAGGGCCAGUUCUUUUGAUAGCUUUUUUGGGCUUCUAGAAUAAGCUGCCCUCUACCCAACUUAUUCUAGAAGAUCAAAUAAAAAUAUUUUUUAGAAGCCUACUAGUAAAGUCUUAAUUAGUAGGCUUCUAAAUAAAUAAAUUUGGUUGGGCUUCUAGAAUAAGCUGGAUAGGGGGCAGCUUAUUUCCGCUUAUUCUAAAAGCUAGCAAAAGAGCUGGCCCUUGGAAGGCGACCGAAAAAUCAGAAGACCAUAAUGAGAUAUGCCUUGCAAGUACCGGAGAAUGCGCUUCACAAGUUGCAUAUGAAUGCCACGUGGUGCAUGCAUGAACAAGCAAGCAUGUUGAACCGCAUAGGUAAUGCGUGGCCGGGUAAGGGUGAGGUAUCGAAGAGCACCGGUCAGACUUCGUUAUUGUGUACGGUUGGCAAGUAGAUGGCCGUUAUUUGAGGAUAGUUUGGAGGUGGUGACAACCGGAGUGGAGACGGGCUUGCAGUUGAGCAUUUUGGCGCGUGCAAGAAGCUCAAGAGUGUACUUUUGUUGACAAAGAAAAAGGUCGGAUGUGUUGGGUGUAACAUUGAUGCCCCAAAAUGGUGGAGGGCACCAAGGUCCGACAUGGCGAAUGAGUUCUUGAGGACAUGAAUGAUGUGGUUAAGGGUGGCGUUAUCACUUGCGGUAAGAAUGAUGUCAUCUACGUAGACCAACAAGUAGGAAAAAGAUGUACCCCAGUGUAAGAUGAAGAGGGAAGUGUCACUUUUGGAAGCAUGAAACCCAAGAGACAACAAGAAAGCUUGAAAGCUAAGAAACCAAGCCCGAGGGGCUUGUUUCAAGCCAUGGAGUGACUUACGGAGAAGGAAGACUUGAUCCAGCUUUGUGGAGUCUACAAACCAAGCUAGUUGACAGGAGUACACUGUCUCAUUGAGAUCGAUCUGUAGGAAUGCAUUUUUUGACGUAAAGUUGGUGAAUCGGCCAUGAGUGGGAGGUGGCAAGGCUCAAUACAACACGAAUGGUAGCCGACUUGACCACCGGGCUAAAUGUCUCAAAGUAAUCCACACCUUCUUGUUGGGUGAAGCCACACACAACCCAUUGUGCUUUGUAUCGUGCCAAGGAGCCAAAGUUGAAUUUGUGGCGAAAGAUCCAUUUCCUCGUGACAUCAUUUGCACCUGCAGGUUUGGGCACCAAAGACACAGUGAAGUUUUCCAUUAAUGCAUUAAAUUCCUAUUGCAUCGCUUGGCACCAAUGGGGGAUCUUUGAGGGCAGAUUUAUAAGUGCGAGGAAUAGGGGAAAUGGAUGUGUUAGAGGCAUCAGCAAGGAAGAGGCGUUUGGGCAUGAGAAAACCAAUUUUGGCAUGGGUGGACAUCUUGUGGGAGAUUUGGGGUGGCUGUACCGGAACCGCAUGGGGAGGCAGAGCUGGCAACAGCUUACUGGAUGGAGCAGAUGCCGAGCAGGAUUCGGUGGUUCCGGGCGAAGAGAGGGCAGGGCUCUUGGGUGGCAGAUCCGAGGAAGGUGCGUUGGAAGACGAGGUCAACGAGGCAGCGUAUAGGGUGACGGGGAGAUCGUAGGAGGCAGGCGUUCCAGGAGCAGCAUCCGAGGGAGAUGCGGCGCGUGGGUUGGCGGAGAGGGGCGUGGGCGUGGGGUUGACCACAGGCGAAGCGGAGGGGUGCGAGUGGGUGCACGACGGGUCCGGUAUGGCUGGCGGAUCAGGUGGAGGCCCAGACGAGGUAGUAGGCGAUGGACCCAAGAGAUCCGGGUGGGUAGGUGAUCGUGCAUGGGGAUUUUCUUUGGACGUACAGGGUGUGUGUGGCUUGGUGGGCAGGGUGUGUAUGGAAAAAUCGUCUCGCCAUUAGGACACGACGGGAUGUGAGGUCAUAGCAUCGAUAUCCUUUGUGUUCAAGUGCAUGGGGCAAGUUUGUGAUCCAUGGUUGCAUACAAGUUCGGAAAGCAUAGGCAACCGAACACACGUAGAUGGUCGUAGGUCGGAAGAACACCAUGAAGAAGAUAGUGAGGCGUGGGCGGAGCAAUGACACGGGAGGAACGUCGGUUUAGUAAGUAGGUUGUCGUAUGGAGGGCCUCAACCCAGAAGGGGGGGAGGAGAUGGGCUUGGGGAAGUAGUGUGUGCACGAUCUCAUUGCUGGUGCGAAUGAGUCGUUCUGCUUUGUCGUUUUGAGAAGAAGUGUAUGGGCAAGAAAAGCGAUAUGCUAUGCCAUUAGAUGAAUAGAAGGACCGUAGAGAUGUGUUAAAAAUUCAUGCCAUUGUCACAUUGCAUACUCUUGAUGAUAGUGUGGAAUUACGUGUAAACAAACGUGAAGAAACGUUGGAGAACCAUGGACGUAUCAGAUUCGUGGUGUAACCGAGAAGUUCACGAAAAAUGGGUAAAGUUCUCCAACACAACAAGAUUUAUUCCUCUAUUCGUUUUUUCUAUUGAAAUUGUCCUCUAUACGGUUUUGAGUUAUCGACUAGAGAUGUUCUUUUGUUUAUGCUGCGGUGAAACGUGUCAAGGCGUCUUUCUUGGCCCCAAAGAAUGCUCGUAAACAACCGAGCUUAAAAUAAACUUUUUUAAACACACAAUUUGCGUUUACACGGAAGAUCUUUUCCAAAGACAGUUUACUUACGGGCCUAGAUAGACGUGCAAGAUCUUUUCCAAAUAGUAUGAGAUUCCUUCAAGAUCAAUCUCCAGAUACACCCAACAAGAACAAAGAUCUCUUUCCGUAUAACAGACCACACGAGGGUUUCCAUACCAUUUAAGCGAUCCUAGCGACUUAUAUUUUCCCACGUAAUAACCUACCCAGUGGCAUCUCUCAAAUUCCACCGCUGGAUAGACGUAAGAUAGAUCUCCCUCGGCAAGUCGCCAUGGACUCCCGCUCCCGCAUCGACGCCGCGGAAGAAGCGCGCCGCCGGCAGGUGAUGGACAGCCUCGGCGUGUACGACGCCGAGUGGGCGCUGUCCAAGGUGUUGGAGCAGUCUGACGUCCAGGCCGGGCAGAACCGGCUUCUCCUGACCAAGGAGGCGGUGCAUGCUGGCCCCAUCCCGAAGCUCUUCCCGGAGCUGGACGAGCUCCGCGACGACGGCAUGAACGCCGAGAACAAAGUCUCGGUCAAGGUCCUCGACGCCGAGGGCCGCGAGAAGACCGUGAACCUCCGCUUCCUCAACUCGAACAAGGCGUACAGGAUCAUGGGGCCUGACUGGAGGCGGCUGGUGGAGGUGAGCCGCAUGCGCAAGGGAGACCGCCUCGAUAUCUACACUUGCAGGCGCGGCGAUGGCGAAAGGUGCCUCUUCGUGUUCAUGAGCUCAGGGCAGUGGGCCAGUGGCGCCGGCAAUACCUGCCGGAGCAACGGUCCUGUGUUGAGACGGCCAGGUUCUGCGGCAGGUCACGCUGUCGUCAAUGGCAGUCAAGAUGAUCCAAGGCCACGCUUAUGAUCGUUCGAGGUAUAUGCCAUUGAUUGGUGAGAUUAAAUCGUUGGUUUCUGAGGAUAGGGAGAUCGCUAUCAGGCGUACACAGAAUAGGACUAGCCUUUUUUUGAGAGAGAGAGAGAGAGAGGCAGAAUAGGAAUAGGACUGCCAUGCCAAUAAAAUCCUCCUUUGUAAAAAAAAUGCAGAUAGGUAGCUGGCUGCUUCCUUCUUUUUUUCUUUUUCUUUUUACCCAAAAAUAGAGCCUUUGGUGGAGAUUUACAAUGCAUAAUUUGGUUGAGUUUUGAAAAUGGUCUUGUCAAGUAUCCACUGCCCAUUGCACCCGCUAAAAUCAUCUUCAACAGGCACCCAAAAACUGCUCCGCACGUUAAAAGAUUUGUUUUUUAGGCGCCAAAGACAGAAAACAACGCUACAACGUAUAAAAAAGAUGCAUUGCAUUAUUGGGGCAUCGGAUUGCGCACGCUGACCGCUGCAAGUGGGGCCACCGGAUUGGUUGCCGUGUUUUUGUGCAUGUGUUGAAGAACAAAGUCUUAGCAGGACGCACAAUUGCUAUUUCGACGCUGUAAAAAAAGAUUUAUAACGCCGCGCUACAGCAUGUCUGUUGAAGAUGCUCUAUAGAAAAGUGUAAAGGGCCAAUCAAGAUCUUCGAUACAUUCAGCAAAGCAAUACAAGCAAAGUGUAACAUUACAACUCUACAAAAUCGUUACGAUACGCCCAAUCAAAAUCAAGCUAAUAACAAGGAUUAUGUUUCUUAUUAUAACAUGAGAAAAACUUCAUAAAAUUUGACAAUCAAGCAAAAUAAAUGAAUUUACCCUAAAGGCUAUGACAAAAUAAGAAUUUAUAAUUAAUUUCUCAAUCCGGAGGUAGAGGAAGGCCUGGGAGCCGGAGCCGACACCGCCGGAGGACCAGGCGGAGCAGACCCGUGGGGACCGUAGAGGGGGAGGAGGAAGGAGAGGGCGAGGAGGAGAAAGGAGGGAGGUGGGAGGAGAAAGGAUGCCCUGGGAGCCGAUGCCGCCGGACGGCUGGCCGAUGCAAGCCCGUGGGGGAGCGCGGAGGGGGAGGAGGGAGGAAGGAGAGAGGACGGAGGAAGGAGGAAGGGGAGUAUACAUGCGCAGGCGAGGACGGUCGCCGAAGCUGGCAUCGGCUGCUAGGACGGUCGCCGAAGCGGGUGGUGGCGGCCAACCCUAGCCCGUCUUCCUCGUCUCUGUUCGAUUGUGUUCGUGGAUGACGUCGGGAGAUAUACAAGCGAACCGGUACAACUUGCGAGAUGGUAGCGUGGGUAAUUUGGACGGAAAGUUUGCCCUCGAAGCUGGAAUUCGGGGUCGAGCUGCUUUGCAAAUUGCAGUGGCUCGAAGCUGCUGCUUCUCCGAAUCUGCUGCUUCUCCGAAUCUGCUGUGAGAAAUAACCCCUUUGGUUAAGAUUCUAGCUUUUUUUACUAAGAAGUUGGAAUCUAAAGUCCAACCAAACACAGCCUAAGGAAGAGUGCGGCCUGCUCGAACCGAUGCACCAGCGCGGCCGGAAGUGGCGAAUCAGACCUCCGGGACCCGUGAGACGACGUCUGAGAACACAAUGUGGAGGGCGUCGAGCAGGUUGAGUGCAUGUGGUGUUGGCGAUCCGGGGCCAUGGGUACGGUGCAUGGCGCGAAGAGGUCGCACUUUGUUUCGAGAACACACAAGGACUCUCCGUGUGUAUGUAUUAAGAUAGGGAGAAUCAAAAAGUGUACAAUGAGAAAUUCGGACAACGCAUGUGGGCCGCCCCUAGAUCACGUUAGAAGGAACCUCGACCGUUCUCAAAUUGCGAUAGGGAUUGCAGAUAUAGGGGCUGUUUGGAUUGUGACUAUCUUUGCCAUAUCUUACCACAUUAUUUUUGCCACACUUGCCACACUUGUCUUACUUGAGUUGCUCAAAUUGUUAGCCACACAUUGGCUUGCCUAAGGGAAUCUUGUCACACUUUUUGUGUCUAUGACAUGUGGGGUUUAGUACUCAUUAAAAAAUGCUUGCCUUAGGUGUGGCUAGAACCAAACACCCACCUAACUUAGUCAAACUUGCCUAAGGUAAGUUGUGGCAAAGUGUGGCAAGGUGUGGCUAGGAACCAAACAGCCCCUAUGGCGAGGUAAGGCGGUGCUGGCCUUCCUAGUGCAAGCUAGGUGGAAAAAGGGCCCCCUGAUGAUGUUGGCCCUUCCUCCGUGACAGAAACAUUGGUCGUGCUUCGUGCUCUGCUUUCAUGUUGUCGUAAGGGAUAUAUAUGUGCUGGUAGACGAAGGUGUCCCGAUGAAUCAUCCAUGGAUUGGCCUCAGUUUGCGCCUCCUCGUCCAGUGGCUCCGGCUGCUCCUCCUCUGCCUCAUCUCGGGCAGUGUAUUUAUGAGAGGGGUUAGGGAGGGAUUUCACUCCGAGUGAGAGUGUGAUCGGAGGGAAAAGAUGGUAAGAGGAAAUUGGGUCGGCCUUGGCGGUGCAUCAGGGUGCGAGCGAGAGGAAUUCAAUUUUGCAUGAUUUCGGUGCACUUUUUUAGGGGAAACGUUGCCUAUUUAUUCAAUGUUUAUAGCUCUCUCGGCAAAAAUCUCCAAGCUAAUACACUGAUGAGAAACAUGAAACCACGUUUCACAUAACAACUUACAUCAACCCUUCCUAGCUAGCAUGCAUAUGUGCAACCUUGUUCGUCGAUCUUGGCACCCAAGAAGCCAUAAAUUCUUGAAAUGACCCAAGUAGCGACUUAAUCUCUUCCACUAUUUGCCAUUAGCAGAAAUACCUUUUUUCACUCGAAAACUUUGUUACUACCACACGAGAAUCCGUGUAAACAAUCACCUUCUUGGAUGUUUAAAACUUGAGCUAGGACAAUGGCUCUCCGGCAAGCCAAUUACUCUAUCAUCUCUCAAUCAGCAGCGACAUGAUUUCUUUUUGGCAUGAACCAACUAAGAAGUCUCCAUGGUUUUCUCGAAGAACAACUCCUCCGCCUCCUGAUCCUUCAUUCUUUGAUAGCACACCAUCAACAUUGACCUUGCUCCAUGCCUCACCUGGAUUACUCCAUUUUUGCAUCUCAUGUUGGUUUAGUUGGUGGUGUGUGCGGUUGCAGCAGCCCUAGCAGUUCAAGCAUGAGUCCAGGCUCAAUGCAGCCAAGUGUCCAAAAAGAGCAACGGGAGGGGCUCGCUUACAAGCAACGAAGUGUACGAAUGUAUUUUUUUUUUUUACUUCAGCGGUUGAAAUUUUUGUAAUUUUGGUCGAAAAUAGGGGUAAAUAAAGUGACGGAUAAAACCCAAGAGAAACGUGCCUUCCUUUAAUAUUAGGUAUAGAUGUAAUUGUAUGCAAUUAUGGAGAAGAUGACAUAGUUAGGCACAGCCACGAGCAUGUCGUUUGCCCUAUUUUACAUCAUUUCCAACGGAAGAAAAAAUUAUGUUCUCCUAUUUUACAUCAUCUACGACGGCAAAAAUAAUUGGUGCCAUCAAACUUCUUUAUGAUAUCUUAUUAUAUACAUCACUAGCAAAAGGACCCGUACGUUGCAACGGGAAAAAAAUAAUACCACACAUUUUUAAUUAAAGAAUUUAGAGAAAGAAAUUAAAGGAAAGAGAGAGAGUAGUAGUGCAUAGUCCAUUAGGCGUGCCAAGGCCCAGCCUUACCCACUCAUAAAUCCCCUAACCUAGCCCGAUCCCCAGCCCCCUCCUCUCCUCCACCUCGCGCCGCUAGGGGAGAGAGCCCCACAAGAUCCCCAAUCUCCCUGACUCCCCCUUUCAAUGGCGCCCGCACUCGCCUCCUCCUCUGCUCCUCCAUCGCCUCCGACCUCUGCACCUCGCGACCACCUCCCAUGGUGUGCUGCUGCGAGGUUGGCCUACGGGGUCAGUCUCCGGCAAGACUUAAGUUUUGGACACGUUUAAGCAUGGGUUGGGCAAAUGACAUGUCUAGGGUCGUGCCUAGGCUAUGAGGACAUAUUUUACCGUGUUGGUAUUCCAAUAAAAAUGUGUUGGUCCCACGCAAAUCUAUCCAUCGACACAGCAUUGUAUUUUUUUAUGUUGGCUCAAAAUACAACUAAUAAAGUCAAAAAGCACAUGAUUAAUUAGGGAAAACAUUCCACUCCAAAAGAAUUUGCAAGGGAUGUCGCAUGCCGGUCGAUUUAUGAAGUGUGACGUGCCUAGGCUUAGAGUCGGAGCAACUACUUAGGGAGCCUUCCCUCACAAGCAUGUCACUAAUCACUUUCACGCGUCGCCACUUGACGCGUUCCCAGUCGCCGUCACGUGUCGCGUUUUGAGCGUUUUUUUGGAUUUUGUUUUUUGUUUUUUAUUUUUUCACAUGCGUUUUCGCCUUUUUAACUGGGUUUUUCUCGACCAUUAUUUGUGUUCCGGUUUAUACCGGUCUUUCAUAAGUUUUGGACAAAAAAAUAAUACAUUUUCUGUUUUUUUUCUUGCGAGAGGCACGAUUUUGUCUUCGUGGAAGGCACGGUCAGGAAAACAAACCAUGUUUUCUUCUUUGUUUUGCGAGAGGCACGGUUUUGCUUCCGCGAAAGGCACAUUUUGCCUUCGCGAGAGGCACGCCCGUGCUUUUCGGAAAGGAAAAAAAACAAGUUUUCUGGUUUUUUUGCGGGAGGCACGGUUUUGCUUCUGUGAAAGGCACGGUUUUGCCUUCGCGAGAGGAACGCCCAUGCCUCUCCCGGAAGGGGAAAACGUGUUUUCUGGGUUUUUUUUGGCGAGAGGCACGGUUUUGCAUCCGUGAAAGGCACGAUUUUGCCUUCGCGAAAGGCACGUGCCUCUGAUGCAUUUUCUGCUCUCUCUCUUUUUUGGAAAGGGGAAAACGCGUUUUCUGUUUUUUUUCUAUCGCGUGAGGCACGGUUUUUUCGUCUGUUUUUUUUUCCGGGUUUUUUCGUGAAAAAAUGGUUCGUCAAAACCUAUCAACAUGGGAUCUAGUUUUUGAAGAUCUCAACACGAGAAAACCAACGGUAAAAACGGUUCGAGAUUUGAACGCACGGUUUAGGAGAUAAAACGUUUUAAAAUACAGAUCUACGGAAAAAAAAACUCCCUGAUUGUGAGAAGUGACACGCAUGCAGUGCGCCAUUUAUCGCAACAUAUGAAAGUGAAAAUGACCAUUGAAAAGUGUACUUGUUAACUAAUGAUUUCGCCUCGAGUCACAUCAUAUGUGCCUUGCACGAUUUUAAGCAUGGACUCGGUUGUGUCAUACCGUUGUACCGGCUCAUUUGGACAACUUUGACAUGAACGAACAAUAGGCGUGCCUAUGUCUCACACUCUCACUUCAAGCGAGACAAUAUGACGGGUAUGUUUGGUUCAUGACUAACUUUGCCACAACUAACCUUAGGCAAAGUGUGGCUGCCAUAAAAAGUAUGGCUAAUAAAAUGGACACCACAAGUGUGGUAAAAUUUGGCAAAAAAUUAAGUGUAUGACAUAUGGACCAUAUAACUAGAAAAGUAUGACAAGUCACAAGUGUGGCAAUGAAUCAAACACAUGACUAAGAUAUUGUGGCAUGACUAAAGUUAGGCGUGGCAACCUUAGGCUGGAAAUCAAACAGCCCCGACAUCUCGCUGAAGGCAACCCAUGCAUGAUCCUCGGGCAUGUCGUGGACCAGCCCAGUGCGGACAGAUGCCUCCAGCGUUUUCCUUUCUAUUUUAUUACUUUUUUGCAUUCAUUUUAUGUUUUGUUUAUCUUUGCUUGUAUAUUUUGAAAUAUUCUGGCUAUGUCUAUUAAAAAAUCAAUUUAUAUUCAAAUUUUAAAAGUUGUUAAUCAUGUGCAGAAAAAGAUGGUUGACAUAUACAAAAGUUGUACAAUGUGAAUUAAAAAAGUCAAAAUCAAAAAGUAUAUAUUUUAUAAUUUUUUGAAAAAUGUUAAUCAUGCAAUAACAAAUAUUACAAUUAUAUAGAAAAUAUGUUUCGGGCGUAUACAAAAUCAGUAAAAUGCACGAAGUAAAAAAGAUGAAAUAAAAUUACUAUAGGUUUAAUAAGAAUUAAAUUUUAUUCAUGCAUCUAAAAAUGCUAAAUUUGUAUAGAAAAAAAAUCAUUAUAAUGUAUAUACAAAAUGUACAAUGCGUGUGGAAUAAAGUAGACAUCAAAAUAUGUAAGUUUUUCAAAAAAUAUAAUGGAUUUGGACAAUGUUAAACUUGUACAUACAAAAAAUGGAAACCCGUAGAAAAAAAUGAAGAAAAAAAUUGAAAGAAAAAAUAAAAUAAAACGAACAAAAAAGAGAGGACAAAACCGUGAGCGACCGAGCGCCCGUUCACGACGACCAACACGGUUGCGGUGCUUCAGGUAGUGUUUCUUUAGAGAACUAGAUUAAAAACAGUUUAUUUUAGUUUCUACGUAAAAAAACAUGAGGAACUUUUUUUUUAAGAAAUUAAAUAAUGACUCUAUUAAAAAGACUUUUUUUCUUUAUUCCAUGGAUGGAGCUAAAAAAAAAGUCUAGCCCUCAAGAAACACCACCUCAUUUGGCGUGGGCCGAGGAUUUGCCCCAUUUUUGCGCAAACCAAAACCGUCGCCUUGCGAAUCAGCAAAUCGUCGGGUCGCUUUCCCCCCAAUCUCCGCCGCCGGUUGUUCGGCGCCCCGGCCGCCACCGCCCGCGGCGCUUGAUUUCUCUCUCCACCCAGCCCACAGACCAGAAUGGCGGCGCCCAAGAGCCCAGGGAUCUCGACGAUCUCGACCUGCACCCCAGAGAAGGCGCGGGGCGACCACGUGCUCAAGAUCGAGGGCUACAGCCUGUGCAAGGGCCUCGGCGUCGGCAAGGUCAUCCACUCCGCCCCCUUCGCCGUCGGCGGCUACGACUGGCGCCUCAGCUACUACCCAGACGGCUACACGGAGGCCACCAAGGAACUUGUCGCCGUCCUCCUCGAGCUCCUCACCAAGGACGUGGAGGUGAGGGCGCUCUACCAUCUGACGCUGAUCGAGCAGGCCGCGCGGACGUCGCCGGCGCAGCUCACAUGGCCAAAACCUACGGGGCCUGUCGUGUUCAGGAACCCCGCUAGGGACGCCUUGUCCUGCUUGGACCAUUCCAUGUUCGUGCAGAGGAGCCUCAUCGAGGGGUCGGCCUACUUAUACAUCCCCGACGACAUCCUUCUCAUCAAGUGCGACAUCACUGUUGUCAAGCUGAAGGAGGCGCAGAUGCGGAAGAUCGGCAUGAGCUUUAACAUCCAAGUGCCGCCUUCGGACUUGCUGCAAAAUCUUAGAAGUUUGCUCGAUGCGAGGGAGGAAUCGGAUGUGUCUUUCAAGGUCAAAGAUGAGGUUUUCACCGCCCAUAAGAUCAUCCUCGCAAUGCGGUCGCCGGUCUUCAGGGCGGAGCUCUACGGGCCGAUGAAGGACAAGUGCGGGCAGGGGCAGAGCAUAGCCAUUGAAGACAUGGAGCCCGCUGUCUUCAAAGCGCUGCUCCACUUCAUCUACACGGAUGAGCUGCCUCCCAUGGACGACCUCCAUGACGAUGACGAUGAAGAAGAGAUGGUCAGGCAUUUGCUCGUGGCUGCGGACAGGUAUGUCAUGGAAAGGAUGAAGUUGAUGUGUGAGAGAAAGCUUUCCGAGUUUCUUGAUGCCAAGACUGUGGCGGCCACGUUAGCUCUUGCGGACCAGCAUCAUUGCGGCAAGCUCAAAGAUGCUUGCAUUGGGUUUAUCAACUCUUUGGAUAGAAUGGAUGAUGUGAUGGAUAGUGUAGGGUAUGAGCACCUGAAAAGAGCAUGCCCUGCUAUCUUUAUUGAUAUAUGGGAGAAAGCUGCCAAGGCUCGCAAAAUGUAGCUUGAUCACCGCGGUUUAGCAUUAUUAUAGUUACUUCAGUAUUCCUUAAUAAUUAUAAUUGCUGCGGAGUGCCAAAUAAAGCGUCUUUUCUUGUCUCCAAGGAAUGCUGGAAACAAUUGAGUUUAAAUUUUAAACUGAAUCUGCUAUAUUUACUGAAGUUCGGGGAGACUGUCAAAGGAUUGGUUGAUCAUAGGGAUCAUUGUUGUUGUGCCUUUGUUUGGAUUUCUUGUGAUCGUUUUGUUCUCCCGCGGGGUUCUCUAUAUGCUGCGACGUCCGGUUUUUUGCUUCUUGUUUCCCAGGUCUGCCGUUGGGUGCACAGUAAUUUGUUCAGCUUUAGCAUACUUACAAUUAAUGUUGAGGCUGUAACAAUCUGACUUUAGUUUUUUUAUUAUUUAAGUUAUCAGAGAUCUUUUGGAUAAGAGCAAGUUUCGACAUCUAUGUCUAGGGCCAUAAAGGAUCACUAGCUCUUUUGACCAACAGUUUUACUGUACACUUCCUAUUAUGCUUCUUCAAAGCAGUGGUUGGCUAACUACCAAGGCCACAUCGAUGUGAAAUGUGAUGAGUCGUUAGAAAAUAACAUUCCUAUAGAAAGUUAUUCAGUAAAGUCAUUAACCAGUGCCGAAUUUUAUACUCCCUCCGUUCCUAAAUAUAAGUCUUUUCAGAGAUUUCAUUAAGGGACUACAUACGGAGAAAAAUAAGUGAAUAUGCAUUCUAAAGUAUGUCUAUAUACAUCCGGAUGUAGUCUCUUAGUGAAACCUUUAAAAAGACUUAUAUUUAGGAUUGGAGGGAGUAUUUUAUAGUAGGCACCCUGUAGUAACGCUGACAGAGAUCUCUUCGCUUCGUUCACGACUGUGACCAUUGGUGAUGGCGGAAAAAGCAAAAUUCUCGGAUUCGUCAUGGCUUAAUAAUGGUCUCUGUCCAAAGAUGUCACGCCCAAGAUCUUUUAGAUAUCUAAAAGAAAGGUGUGUUUGGUUAGCAAGGCGCUUCAUAACAACUUCUAGAUUAGACAGACCGACACUACUGAGAGCCUCUCUUUGGCCCAUAUCCAGGCGUUCGCCACUCGUUGGGGGACGGUAUAAGAUGUUACUCUAAGCUUGGACAGGAUGGACACAAUACAUUGAAAAUUCACUUUUAGUAAGGAAUAUUCGGCGGCCACCGCUUACAUGACACAGUUUGCAGAACAAAUUCUCAGCCCCACCUCUACCACGAUCCGGAAGACUUGGACUCAUGCGAAAUGCAAUUCUUUUUGCUUGGUUGAUCAUUCAAAAUCGUGUGUGGACAGCCGAUCGGUUACAACGGCGAGGAUGGCCAAAUUACGGUCUAUGCCACCUUUGCAAACAGGUUCAAGAGUCAGCUCCUCACCUUCUCAUCUAGUGUAGAUUCACCGUUCGAGUAUGGAAUGAGAUCAUCGCUUGGCUUGGCAUUCUUGGCCAAUCUCCGGCGGCUUGGCGCCACGAGGCCUCCGUUCAUGAUUGGUGGCUCAAAAUGAUCAACUCUGGAGGCCACAUAAAGAAGGCGACUAUCUCUGUUAUGAUGCUUAACUCGUGGGAAAUUUGAAACGAACGAAACGUGAGAGUCUUUCGCAACACGGCCACCCCGACCAUUGUCAUCGUUGCCAAAAUCAAAGAGGAGGCCCAGCUUUGGGCGCUGGCUGGAGCUAGUCAUCUAAGUACUCUUAUGUCAUGAGAGUAGUCUUUUUCCUUUGUUUUUGCUGCGUGGCGGCUUAUGUCUAAACCUUCUCCUUAAUGAACGAAAGGACAAUGUUUACUUUAAUGAACGAAAUAAAGUACAAUUAAAGUCAUUUACCUUGUUCAAAGAAAUAAAUUUAAGUAAGUGAUUUGCAGGACCUGUAUCUUGUUCACAUCAUCAUUUCAAUGUACAUAUUUACUUUAAUUGUACUUUAUUUCAGAUGUUUACUUUUAACUCAAAGCAAGUAUUGGCAUUUCAUUUUAUAAAAAGAGGCCUAUUGAACAUAUAACUGCGGAGAUACUGUAAAACUGUUCUUUGCUUUUGCUUACCAUGUCAUCUUUUCUAUUCUACAAUUCCACGUUUUUGUUGCACUCUUGUGAAAGGAUAGUAUUUCAGUUGAUAAGCUGUUGAAUAGCUAUCACUUGAGUUUGUUGAGCUGUUGUGAUCUCGUCUGAGACCUGUCUUCAGGCUUCAGUGAUGACACCUCAUCUGAACCAGCACUGAACCUGCAUGUUGUUGUAGCAAGAUGCUUAGUUUUUCAACUGUUUAAAGGCGGCAAGCCAACUGAUGUUUACUAGUACGUCUAUUUCAUAUUAGUUGUCGUUGAUUUAGUACUCCUACAAUAUAUGCUAUUUGGAGUCCAUUUUCCGUUCCUGCAAAAGGCCCUCCACGUUUAUGCGCGGUGCCUUGGUUUUAACCAUGAGAUUAAAUUACAACCUGAAGAUAACAUUUUCACGAUGUAUGUAAUCCAUACAAUUUUUGUUUCUGUAGAAAAGACGUAAUUUUUGUUUCUGUCACCCGACUGCUCACCAACCUGCUGCUCAUUUAUCUGUUGCCGCUCCUCCUCUUCAGAGUUCAGACCCGAUCUUCUUCCGUUUGCUCGAGGACGAAGAAUGCCCCAACCUUGUCACCAACCUGCUGCUCAUUCAUCUGUUGCCGCUCCUCCUCUUCAGAGUUCAGACCCGAUCCUCUCCCGUUUGCUCGAGGACGAAGAAUGCCCCAANNNNNNNNNNNNNNNNNNNNNNNNNNNNNNNNNNNNNNNNNNNNNNNNNNNNNNNNNNNNNNNNNNNNNNNNNNNNNNNNNNNNNNNNNNNNNNNNNNNNNNNNNNNNNNNNNNNNNNNNNNNNNNNNNNNNNNNNNNNNNNNNNNNNNNNNNNNNNNNNNNNNNNNNNNNNNNNNNNNNNNNNNNNNNNNNNNNNNNNNNNNNNNNNNNNNNNNNNNNNNNNNCGUUUGAAAUUCAGGUAGCAAACCGACCCCGGAUCAACAGCAAGAGAGCGGGCUCUUUCCUUGCUUUUAGUGAACAGCAGAGGCACGGCGAGCUACCACCAUGAUCAAACGCUGUCAUGUACUUGUCCCAAUCAGUGGGCAUAUUAGCAGGGCCAGGAUGCGACCUGGCAUGCAACCCCCUGAUCGUGCGAAUUGCGAUGCAAUGCCAGAAAAGAGAAGAGCACGGACAGAGCAAAUGAAGCAGGGACCAUUGAUUCAGUCGGUGGGGCUGGCCUAAACAUAUCGCCACUACAGUGGCGACUUGUUCAGCACCGGGUGUGGUGACACUGUACACACCACACGGCCACACACGCGUGUGUACUCCGUGCUGGUGUUUAGUGAAAUCCAUCUUGCCGCGUGAGAAAGGGGGGCUUGAUGGAGGACAGGAAUUUUACAGAGCAAUUCUAACCGGCCUACAAAGUGUCCGUUUGAAUCGUGACCAAUAUAAAAAUCGGUCCAACGUGCCGACAUGAACUCGCGUUUAUUAUUAUCUGUUAUGCGGUCAAUUUGCAUCUCAAAUUUAGACAUGAAAUGCAUCGGCACGGACACGCGCCUCGUCUGCCUACUCUUNNNNNNNNNNNNNNNNNNNNNNNNNNNNNNNNNNNNNNNNNNNNNNNNNNNNNNNNNNNNNNNNNNNNNNNNNNNNNNNNNNNNNNNNNNNNNNNNNNNNNNNNNNNNNNNNNNNNNNNNNNNNNNNNNNNNNNNNNNNNNNNNNNNNNNNNNNNNNNNNNNUGUCUUAUCCGUCGCGGACACAGAACCCCCUCUUCUAUCCCUUCUCCCGCCCGCCGCCCGCCCGUGCACAAACCCAACGCCAUAGCCCGUUUUUUCUGUCCACCACGGUCUCCAGCCCUCUCCCCUCCUCCCACCACAACAACCAGCUUGGUGCCUUCCUCGACCCAGUGCGGGAGGCCAAGUGGUAGAUCUGCAGCAGUGGGAUCUGGUGCAUCCUGUCGAUUGGAUUUGUCGAAUCCGGCUGCCCGCGAUUGCGUCUUGCCAUGGAGUGGUCGGGUGCCAAUCCAUCUAGCCCCUGCAUUUCCUCAAUGUCGCAUGCAGGUGUUCAGUCCGCCUCUAGCCGCUCGGAUCUAUCCCGUCGUCGAUUCUUCAGCAAAGCCACAGUUGGCCAUCUCCCUGGCUCGGCGCUAGCCCAUAGGCUUGUCGGCUCACUGUUGCCGCACAUAAAGUGCAAUGACUGUCUAUGGAAGAUCGUGUGUCGCGUCUCCACGACGUCGGAACAUCCCAAAUGAUGGGGUACAUGCUUCUCUUGGUUCUGUUUUUUCGACGAAAUGUCGAUACCUUAUUUGCUCAAAUCUGUGUGUAGGAGGGAUGCAAGUUUGGAUACUGGAAAGAAGAUUACAUCGAUCUUUUCAUCGAACAGAAUUUGCUAGAUGUCUAUGUAGUUCUAGCUAGAAUUGAAGUUAUAGAUGAGACUAAUGAUGAAGACGUAGAGAAGAUAUUAGUCCAACUAAUGGGAGCAGUUAUGGAACUUGACUUUUUUUUUAAAUGUUCAAUCAUGGUGCUUAUUUUCUUUGAUCUUGUUCUCAGAUAUAGCGAAGAAUACGUAAAUCCAUGUAUCAAAAUUCUUUGAUGGAAUAAAAAAAAUAGUCUUUCAUUGUCAAUCAAAAAUAUUUGUACACAAGAGAAAAUGGACCUAGGCGGGCAGUUAGGAGAAAAUGCGUUCGCGCAUUCAACACAUGACCGAACCAAACGCAAAAGGCGACGGACGAGCCAGCCCAAAUGAACAAAAAACGAACAAAGUGCAUGUCUGUUUGGCAGAUGCUUUGGAGUUGCUGUUACAACACAUGGUUCAUUUGGGGGGCAAGAUGAAAAUGUCACGGGGCAUGUGUAAACCGCUUGAAUGAAUUGAUCCAGUCCAUUCCCUAGAUCUAAUGACGUCUCUAAAGAUUUUUUAGGUGUGGUUGAAUUGAUGACUUAACUAUUAAGAUCAAUAACUAUUUUUUUUAGAUCCCAUGCUACAGUCGACUGUUAAUCUACAAUCCGCUUCCCUUCUCUCUCCUCUUCUCUCUCAUCCAGCUGAGCAAAAAAUACAAUAGUUAAUCCUUACACCCUGCCGACUGUAUCUUAUUAUACUUGAUCUCACUGAUCGAGUUGAGGGCCUCCGCAGUUCCCGUCGCCGAUACAAAGACAUCCGCAAGCGCUCUUACGACAGCUAAAGCAAAGCCUGGUAAUGCUGAGACAGAUCCCUUUGGGGUGGUGUUGGUUCCCUCCAAGAUGGAGGCGGCUCCCUCUUGGGAGGCGAGUCUCUGCGAUAGUUGCGUCCAACAUCACGCCCGCCGUAACCUUUUCCUCCUCGGUUUGCCCUAAACCCAUGACGUGGGUGGUGAAAUGGUUCCACUAGCCAUCGGACGGACCGACGUAACCCCAUCCUCCACCUCCACCGAGUUGCCUCUGAUCACCAUAUCCAUGGCCUCCUCCGUUCGAGGAUGAACCCCGGUAGCGAUCGUCUCGGUAUGCGUCGUAGCCGUUGUUAGGAACCCAGUGCCUCUAGCCUUGGAUCGUCGUGAUUAUUUCCCUUUAUAUUCGGUUCAUUUCUCAAUGUAGUGAGUCGAUGGCUACUAGGACUGAAUGAUUGUUGUGGAAUGAGUGAAUCGUCAGAAAGUAGAAAUUGUAAGAAAAUAAUAAUCCAUGCAGAUUUUUUAUAUUAUGUAUUUCCUUCGUUUUGAAAUAAGUGUCUUAAGCUUAAUACAACUUUAUACCAAAGCUAGUGUAAAAUUGAGAUAAUUAUUUUGAUACGGAGGAAGUAGGUGCUUAUUAAUGUUAAUUUCCCCUAAUUUAUGAGUGAGGCGUUUUGGUUCCCAGAUUCAUAUGCACCCAUGCUCAAUACAAAAAUCAAAAUAAAUAUCAGAAAAUUUUUAAAAAUUCAUUUUUUUUUGUCAUAGUAGAGAAUUUGAUGUGUGAUAUUCGUUCCAAUUUUCAAAUUAUUUAAACAUUCUAGCAGCUCUCGACAAAAACGAUAAAUUUGGAUCUUUUAAAAAUAUACUGUUCAUGUACAGUUGGAAUCCUAAUUUAUAUUUUGUGUUGAGAGCUACUCAGACGUCCGAAUGGUCUGAAAUUUGUAGCGCGUCUUACGCAUCAAAUUAUCUACCAUUCUACCUUGCGCAGAAAAAUUAGAUUUUUUUGAUUUUUUUGAUUUUUUUUUCUUAUCGGAUGUAGAUCUAUCCGAGUUGAGAAUUGGAUAUUCGCUAAUUUAACACUAUUCCCGUUGGGCACUAGUAGCUUUUGUAGAUGGCUCCACUUGCGCACCACACGGAAACCCAGAGAGACAGAGGCGUCCACUACCACCUCCUCCUCCAAGCACACACCCGCGCCGUGCUGCUGUCUUGCCUCCUACGCCUUGACUUUACCCUCCCUCCCCAGUCCUCACCCCACUGACACCACGGUCCCNNNNNNNNNNNNNNNNNNNNNNNNNNNNNNNNNNNNNNNNNNNNNNNNNNNNNNNNNNNNNNNNNNNNNNNNNNNNNNNNNNNNNNNNNNNNNNNNNNNNNNNNNNNNNNNNNNNNNNNNNNNNNNNNNNNNNNNNNNNNNNNNNNNNNNNNNNNNNNNNNNNNNNNNNNNNNNNNNNNNNNNNNNNNNNNNNNNNNNNNNNNNNNNNNNNNNNNNNNNNNNNNNNNAUCCACGUCGUCGUCGUCGAUAGCAAGCCAGCCCGGACGCGCCACCCCGUCCAUAUCGCUGUAGCCCCACCGGUAAGCGGGUCGUCUGGAGUCACGUCGGUCGUCGGACGUGGCGGCCCGCGCGGCGCGUCCCGUCCCGUAGCUGCUGCAGCAGCAGAGAGGGGGUGGGGCCGGGUGCCAUUCCGCGGUAUAAUUCCGGCCAUUUAAAAGGCACGCCGUGGCGUUGGUUGGCAUCCCUCCGUUCCACAACACGCAGCAAGCCCACCUUCCCACCCAUCCCCCUCCCUCCCUCUCUCUCUCGUCCACGCCUCCGCAUCGGUCGUUCCCCUUCCUCGCUCUGCCACCCACUCACCGGGCGCCAUGACGGAGGAGGCCGACGGUUGCGCCGCGGUGGUGGUGGCAGAGGCGGCGGGCAUCAUCUGCUCGCUCCGUGCGGCGGACCUGGCCGGGUGGACGCCGCCAUGGAAGACGAGCGGGCAGCCGUCCUCCGAAGCCACGGCGAGGAAAGAGGAGACGGCCACCUGGCCGUCGGUGGCGCGGGGGAAGCGGACGCGGUCGUCGCGCUCAGGAUCCGCGGCAAACAAGGGGAGGAGGUGGGCACGCGGCAGCCCCGCGUCUCCGCUCGACUACAGCGGCGGGUCCGGGUCCGGCUCCGGCGCGUCCACCAGCGGCGGGGAGGACGGCGC